rnacentral:rRNA from 1 species
UAACCUGCCCAAGAGAUCGGGAUAACACCUGGAAACAGAUGCUAAUACCGGAUAACAACAGAUGAUGCCUAUCAACUGUUUAAAAGAUGGUUCUGCUAUCACUCUUGGAUGGACCUGCGGUGCAUUAGCUAGUUGGUAGGGUAACGGCCUACCAAGGCGAUGAUGCAUAGCCGAGUUGAGAGACUGAUCGGCCAUAUUGGGACUGAGACACGGCCCAAACUCCUACGGGAGGCAGCAGCC